AGCGUGGAGACAGGUGGUGCAUGGCUGUCGUCAGCUCGUGUCGUGAGAUGUUGGGUUAAGUCCCGCAACGAGCGCAACCCUCACCCUUUGUUGCCAUCAGGUUAUGCUGGGCACUCUAAGGGAACUGCCUCGGUUAACGAGGAGGAAGGUGGGGAUGACGUCAAGUCAUCAUGCCCCUUACGCUCUGGGCUACACACGUGCUACAAUGGCCAAUACAAAGGGAUGCAACGCCGCGAGGCAGAGCCAAACCCAAAAAGCCGGUCUAAGUUCAGAUUGGAGUCUGCAACUCGACUCCAUGAAGGAGGAAUCGCUAGUAAUCGCGUAUCAGCACGACGCGGUGAAUACGUUCCCGGGCCUUGUACACACCGCCCGUCACACCACGAAAGCCAGCUGUACUCGAAGUCGCUGAG
rnacentral:rRNA from 1 species